rnacentral:rRNA from 1 species
UACGUAGGGCGCAAGCGUUGUCCGGAAUCAUUGGGCGUAAAGAGCUCGUAGGCGGUUUGUCGCGUCGGCCGUGAAAACUUGGGGCUUAACUCCAAGCUUGCGGUCGAUACGGGCAGACUUGAGUUCGGCAGGGGAGACUGGAAUUCCUGGUGUAGCGGUGAAAUGCGCAGAUAUCAGGAGGAACACCGGUGGCGAAGGCGGUUCUCUGGGCAUUACCUGACGCUGAGGAGCGAAAGUGUGGGGAGCGAACAGG